GACGAACGCUGGCGGCGUGCUUAACACAUGCAAGUCGAACGCUGAAGCUCAGCUUUUGUUGGGUGGAUGAGUGGCGAACGGGUGAGUAACACGUAAGUAACCUGCCCCCUUCUUUGGGAUAACGCCCGGAAACGGGUGCUAAUACUGGAUAUUCACUGGUCUUCGCAUGGGGGUUGGUGGAAAGGGUUUUUCUGGUGGGGGAUGGGCUCGCGGCCUAUCAGCUUGUUGGUGGGGUGAUGGCCUACCAAGGCUUUGACGGGUAGCCGGCCUGAGAGGGUGACCGGUCACAUUGGGACUGAGAUACGGCCCAGACUCCUACGGGAGGCAGCAGUGGGGAAUAUUGCACAAUGGGCGCAAGCCUGAUGCAGCGACGCCGCGUGAGGGAUGGAGGCCUUCGGGUUGUGAACCUCUUUCGCUCAUGGUCAAGCCGCAACAAUGGUUGUGGUGAGGGUAGUGGGUAAAGAAGCGCCGGCUAACUACGUG
rnacentral:rRNA from 1 species